CACCUCGGCUUGGUACUGCUUUAGACUUAGUUUCUCUGUUUUCCUGCCGUCCGGAUGUGAGAACUCUCCAUGACAACACAGAUAUUUCCCGUAUCACACACUCAUCGGAA
ensembl:ncRNA C34G6.13 ncRNA